rnacentral:lncRNA from 1 species
GAGAAUCUGCUAGGACUUAUGAAUUAUCAUACCUUUGUGGCUCCGACCCACUCACACAUUGCUUCUUCUACGUGUACGCGUGUUGGCCCGGAUCAAUCUGUGUAGGUUGGAGCCACAGAGGUAUGAUAAUUCGCAAGUCCUAACGGACUCUCUUGAUGCAGAUCAGAAACUUCGAUAAUCAUGAGGUGGAAGUAUCACACUGCCCAGCAGUAUAUUGUCACAGCAGUGUGACAUAAUAGAAAAAUCUACAUGCGUACAUGUAGAAGCAGCAAAUGGAAAGGCUACGUGCGUAUAUAUAGAAGCAGCAAAUGGAUAGACGAACUAUAAAGUAUAUGAUACUGUCUGCAUGCACUGUAUAUCUAAUAGUCCGAAACUCAGGAGUAUGACGGCAAAAUGAACUAUGAUUGAGGA